rnacentral:rRNA from 1 species
UACGUAGGGUGCAAGCGUUAAUCGGAAUUACUGGGCGUAAAGCGUGCGCAGGCGGUUUUGUAAGUCUGUCGUGAAAUCCCCGGGCUCAACCUGGGAAUUGCGAUGGAGACUGCAAGGCUAGAAUCUGGCAGAGGGGGAUGGAAUUCCGCGUGUAGCAGUGAAAUGCGUAGAUAUGCGGAGGAACACCGAUGGCGAAGGCAAUCCCCUGGACCUGUACUGACGCUCAUGCACGAAAGCGUGGGGGAGCAAACAGG